AGGAGGAUCAAAUCAACUCUUAUAACCUUCACCAAUGCAUGUAAUAGAGAAACUUAACUGCCUAAUUAACUCCCCCUAAUUGAGAAUACACCCACCUGAACGGCAUGUAUAAACAAAGAAAAAAAAAAUAAAAAUGAGAAAAAGAAAGACACCACGGACUUACUGAUAAUUCAAUCCCAACUCUUCGGCUCAACAAGACUUCAGAAAGCUCCUUAACUUUAAAGAACUUGAAGAUGCUAAAAGAAAUUAGCAAAGCUAAUUCUUAAAAGAGGAAAAAUCUUUAAUUUUAUUCUUCUCAAAUAUGUGAUUACAACUUAUGGGUGAAUAAGAUGGGUGGAAAAAACUUCCUACAGCCAUCAAAUGUUUUCUGCACAACUGCCACACACGUGGGCUAGGAGACCUGUACUCGUGCGCUUCUAGCUCGUGAUGGGCCUGGGCACAACCUUCACACAUCACGGGCUUGGGUGUGCGACCCACCUUGUUCGCGUCACUACUUCAACAAAUUUCCCUCCUGGACCACUUGGCUUCUCAAGCGGCCCAAUUGCCUUCUCCUCGUGCGCAAGGCCUACUACCUGGACAAUUAGGCUGGACCAAAGGUCGUUGUUGUUGUGGGCCUUGUGACUUCUUGGUUGGGCAUAUAGGUUGGACACCUCACACAUGUGAGUGCCUGGGUUACUCGUGUGGGCAGCCUACUUGACUUACACUUGUGUGGGCUUGUGUGCAUGAUCCUCUUAUGCGUAGGCGGGCUCAGUUUGCCACGUGGGGCUGUUUGUCGAGGCAUCCUUCACGGGUCGAGGGCCAUGAGGGCUGAACAACCACAUGCCUUUCUCCAUAGGCUCUAAGAUCACCCUAAAAGCCUAUUCCUCAUCUGCUCCUUCUGCCAUUUAGGCCACUCAAUUUGGAGGCUCGUAUGUCCAACCCUUCUUAAUAGCAUCAAAUGAUCCAUCUCACUUGGUCGAAGCUCUUUUGGAUAAGAUCUUUCUGUCUAAAUGGGUCAUGUUUUAUCUCUCC
rnacentral:lncRNA from 1 species